UUGAAUGAGUAACGCGAUAACGCGAAGUUGAAAGAAGGAUACUGCCGUUUCUAUUUUCCAUAAAUUCGUUCUCCGUUUACCUGUUAACCAGGAAUAUGGGUGUUUUUCUCGCUGCGCUGUCGCGGAGGUCAAGUCGGUUAUCGGUUCGCGUAAUACUUGUGAUAACGUCAAUACGACGUUGCCAUAUGCAAUAUUGAUAAAAUAGUUUCUAUGAAUUCUAUGGAGUAUGGAUGUCCGUAGAGCGUAGAGCCACAUUGUCUAUUUCUAUUCUAUACUACUGGAGAAUUGUCAACGUCGCAAUCCAGUUUUGAGCUGAGGCCUUGGUGGUAUUGCUUGCCGCUUGGUAGCCGUUAUAAAGGUAAUGUGUUAUGUGUUUGUGAGUUCACUGAUCUGAUCCUCAAUACUGUUCAUACCUACUGUGAAGUAAAUCUAUCUGUAAAAUUCAAUUUUAUUGAAAGUUAAUAAUUAACCUAUCAAGUCGAGAUGACCGCUAAACCCCCGACUAAAUCCCCGGUUGCUACAUUUUGGUCCAGAUUAUCGAAAAGUAAUGCUGGUUCAGCUUGUGCGUCUCUCAUCAUGGUAUCUAGUCUCCUUUACUUCUACUUUCGCGAGGAAAAGCACCAACACAAGCCUCUGCUAAUCGAUACACUGAAGAAAGAGUCUGUUACAAAGAUGAAUUCAGAUUGAAAACUUGUGUUUUUUAUUUCCUAAGCUUAUCUUGAGUUCGUUAAUAUUAAAUGUUCAAGUUCUGAAAAUUA